UACGUAGGGUGCGAGCGUUGUCCGGAAUUAUUGGGCGUAAAGAGCUCGUAGGCGGUGUGUCACGUCGGCCGUGAAAACCUGCAGCUUAACUGUGGGCGUGCGUUCGAUACGGGCACUAGAGUUCGGCGGAGGAGUCUGGAAUUCCUGGUGUAGCGGUGAAAUGCGCAGAUAUCAGGAGGAACACCGGUGGCGAAGGCGGGACUCUGGGCCGAUACUGACGCUGAGGAGCGAAAGCGUGGGGAGCAAACAGG
rnacentral:rRNA from 1 species